ensembl:lncRNA
AAGAGGCAGUAAAUGGAACCAGAACAUUAACUCUUUAACUUCCACUGGUUCACAUGAUGUUCUGAUGUGGAAUACUGACAACAAAAAAUCACCAAACUACAACACUUGGUCAUCCAGUGUCACCAACCAGAAUCACUGUGUGCCACUAGGCUCUACCUGCCUCCUCUUGCACAUCAGGUCAGCAGUCAAACCUAAGUGUGUGAGCACAGAGCACACGUUGUAAAAUAAAGGGGAGAACAUUGCCUUUGUCCUGAAGGACAUCAGAGUGCUUCUCGUCAAAGGAAUGCAAGUUCAAAUGAAAUUCUACUAUUAUUUCCUGGAGAGGAUAACUGGGAAAGAAAACCUAAAAAAAGUUGUUUUCAAGGUGAGCUGUAGGUUUCUCCAUGGCCUGGGCAGUCCCAUGACCCUUGCGCUGCCUGCACAUGGCUCACCAGGACCUGGCCAGCUGCUCAGGCCGUGCAAGUGCUGUGGUGCUGUUAGCUCUCCCUGCCUUGGGCUCCUCCAGCACACUCCAGUGCCUCAGCCGUGACAAGGAUGAACCACAUCCUCCCUGUUCCACCCCUGCAGAUCCCCUGGCUGCUGGACAUGGUGGUGUCCCAGGUUGCAGCUGUAGCCUCCCUGACUUCCUCAGGCCGAAUCAUCAUCUUUCCCAGUUCCAGAGGAAUUUCCUGAAUUGCCACCCCUCCCCAGCUGGAUCCAUGUUACCUUUCUCGUGGAUACAAUACAGUCUGAGAAGAGAACAAGCAAUGACGAGAAGGCCAGAAAUCCAUCGGUUGUUGGACCACAUGGAAAGACAUGGAGGAAAAUCACAGAAUCACAGCAUAUCAAGGAUUGGAAGGGACCUCUAAAGACCAUCCAGUCCAACCCCCCUGCUGGAGCAGGAACACCUAGAUCUGGUCACACAGGAACGCGUCCAGGUGGAUUUUGAAUGCCUCCAGAGAAGGGGACCCCAGAACCUCUCUGGGCAGCCUGUUCCAGUGCUCUGUCACCAUCACUGUAAAGAAGUUUUUUCUCAUAUUUAUGUGGAACCUCCUGUGUUCCAGCUUGCAUCCAUUUCUCCUUGUCCUAUCAUUGGAUGUCACUGAAAAGAGCCGGGCUCCUCAAUACAACAAA